rnacentral:lncRNA from 1 species
UUUUUUCCUUUUUCACAUGAUCCGAUUCCAGAGUUUCAACUGGCUAGCAGUGCAUAAAAAGUUGUUAUCCCUUAGAUAAGUCCAAAUAUGUUUAAAAAAAUAGGAGACCACACUAUUCUUUCACUCAUCGCACUCAUAUCCAUACAAAAGAAGAAAACAUUGAGGUGAACAAAAAAAAGAUUGCUUUGAUACAUUAUAUCACAUCACUUGUUUAUUUUCCUACCAUCUACUGCUACGACAAAAAACACAAAUGCAUUAUUUCAAAUUUAAUAUCGAUUUGUUUUCUUUUAUUCAUCAUCCGUACUCACUAUCGUCCUUCUUCCCUGCCUCUCCUAUAAACCAUAAC